rnacentral:rRNA from 1 species
CACGUAGGCACCAAGCGUUGUCCGGAUUUAUUGGGCGUAAAGAGCUCGUAGGCGGCCUGUUGCGUCCGCUGUGAAAGCCCGGGGCUUAACCCCGGGUCGGCAGUGGAUACGGGCAGGCUAGAGGUAGGUAGGGGAGAAUGGAAUUCCCGGUGUAGCGGUGAAAUGCGCAGAUAUCGGGAGGAACACCGGUGGCGAAGGCGGUUCUCUGGGCCUUACCUGACGCUGAGGAGCGAAAGCGUGGGGAGCGAACAGG